CCCAAAGCCCAACUUGGGUCGAACGGUGUGGUGGGUGGAGGCGCCUUCGACUGGAGGAGGCGUACUCUUGUCUCAAAAAAAAAGGAGGAGGCGUACUCGGGAUUAUUCCGUGCGCGCCGGCGAAUAUCCGCUCCCGCGACCGCGAGUGCGAAUAUUUGGGCGAGAAGAUCCAGCGAAUGUACCGUCCGCUUUCUCUCUCUGUCGCUGCUUUUGCCUUGCUUGCAGUGCACGCACGGCCACCCGCAGUCCUCUUCUUCGUCCGUCCCUGCCGCGCGUGCGCCCCUCUCCAAGCUCGUUUCAUUCGCCCGUGCCCUCGCCGCCGGUCAUCCCCGCGUCGCCGCCGAUCACCGCUUCACCAGGAGCGGGGAAGGGGGCCUUUCGGCGCAACAUUCGAGCUCGUAUUGCAUUGCACCAGGAAGAAAAAGGUCGCUGCUCUUUCGCUUGCUGAGGUAAGAUCAAAUCAUCUUAUCCGUGAUUUCCUAAGGAUUUAUUUUACUUGCUCAAGCUUUUGAACAUUCCUUUCCAUCAAUCCGCCCCUUCUUCAACUAUGACGCCGUGCGUGUGUUCUUCAACCUGUGAUUUUCAUUUUCUUGUAUAUACCGGCUUCCAAUUUGCCAUUGCUCUAAAAUGAGCGAGUCUACACUCUAAAAUGCGUCUGUAUACAUCUUAUAUAGUUCGUAUUGAAAUCUCUAAAAAAAUCUUAUAUUUAGAAAUGGAUGGAGUAUGUGCCACUGUUGUAUACGAGUACAUCCGCAACUAACAUUGCACAGGUAAGAAAAUAUUCACCUACCCCAGAAGGGUGCAGAGAAGUGAAGAUCGAGUCGAUUUAUUCAAAGGGAUGAUCACAGCACAACAAUGGAGUACACAACAACGCCGACAUCAACAACGCAACGCAACAUGCGGCCGUGUACAUAUUGGUCACAGCUUAAUUACACUCAUCACACAAGGUACAUCCAUUUGCUCUCUCCGAGCUACAGUAAUAGUACAAUGUAUGGCAGCACAUCUCAAUCACCACGCCCUGCGACGCUUCUGCCCAGGUGCGCGCAAUGCAGGUAUAGCUCCUCUGUUCUUCAGUCUUGAAACGUUGUUUCUGCCGAGAGCAGAGGGCCUUUCUCAAGGGAGGAGGAAAAAUAGGUUCAAUUCUUGCGGAGAUGCUACUCUAAAUUCGUCUCAUCUCCACAGAUGGUAUACGGAGGAGACAUGAAAUAUGAUCUCCUCGCCGGCUUCGGGGGUAUAAUUUACAUGUCUUUUGUUUCUGCAAAAUCAAACACACCAACUGCGGUAAGCGAAUCUGCCAGGAAUUAGGAAAUACGACGACUUAUGUAUGUAGUGGAGGAAGAGUUUGUUUACCUUAUGAUGACUGGAUCGCCACGACCCUCACGGGCUUCGUUACUCUUACAAUGUUCCUCACAUGCUCAAACGCCAUCACUAUCAGGCCUAUGACAUAAAGAAAGCUUAGUUGCAACUUUGCAAGUAGGUUAUACGCUGCUACGGCAGCGUUGCCAGCUUCGCCUGUUCGUAUCGUGAGGGUUACAGGCCUCGCAGAAAUAAGGGCCCCGGUUUCUGGUUGUAAAGAUCAGCGUAAGAGGUGUGCCUUCCAAAGCCUUCGAAUGAAUUUUGUGACCGUCAGCCGGUUAAGCAUACCUGAUGUGUUCUCCGGCUGGGACGACCACUCUUGAGGUGCCAUCGCAUACUUUGUGGCCUUUAUCAGAUCCAUUAGGGCGUUGUUGACCUGUCAUAGAUUGAUAAUCACAUCAGUUCCUUACUUUCUUAUGCUCUACGGUCACUUGUAAAGAUGAAUGAGAGGAGAAAUCAAUGCUCAUUAUCACAA